rnacentral:rRNA from 1 species
GAUGAACGCUGGCGGCGUGCCUAAUACAUGCAAGUCGAGCGAACAGAUGAGGAGCUUGCUCCUCUGAUGUUAGCGGCGGACGGGUGAGUAACACGUGGAUAACCUACCUAUAAGACUGGGAUAACUUCGGGAAACCGGAGCUAAUACCGGAUAAUAUAUUGAACCGCAUGGUUCAAUAGUGAAAGACGGUUUUGCUGUCACUUAUAGAUGGAUCCGCGCCGCAUUAGCUAGUUGGUAAGGUAACGGCUUACCAAGGCAACGAUGCGUAGCCGACCUGAGAGGGUGAUCGGCCACACUGGCACUGAGACACGGUCCAGACUCCUACGGGAGGCAGCAGUAGGGAAUCUUCCGCAAUGGGCGAAAGCUUGACGGAGCAACGCCGCGUGAGUGAUGAAGGUCUUCGGAUCGUAAAACUCUGUUAUUAGGGAAGAACAAAUGUGUAAGUAACUAUGCACGUCUUGACGGUACCUAAUCAGAAAGCCACGGCUAACUACGUG